rnacentral:rRNA from 1 species
GACGAACGCUGGCGGCGUGCUUAACACAUGCAAGUCGAACGGAAAGGCCCUGCUUUUGUGGGGUGCUCGAGUGGCGAACGGGUGAGUAACACGUGAGUAACCUGCCCUUGACUUUGGGAUAACUUCAGGAAGCUGGGGCUAUACCGGAUAGGAGCUCCUGCUGCAUGGUGGGGGUUGGAAAGUUUCGGCGGUUGGGGAUGGACUCGCGGCUUAUCAGCUUGUUGGUGGGGUAGUGGCUUACCAAGGCUUUGACGGGUAGCCGGCCUGAGAGGGUGACCGGCCACAUUGGGACUGAGAUACGGCCCAGACUCCUACGGGAGGCAGCAGUGGGGAAUAUUGCACAAUGGGCGGAAGCCUGAUGCAGCAACGCCGCGUGCGGGAUGACGGCCUUCGGGUUGUAAACCGCUUUCGCCUGUGACGAAGCGUGAGUGACGGUAAUGGGUAAAGAAGCACCGGCUAACUACGU